GACUGGGUUGCUCGACGGGGAUGCAUUCGCCGUCAUCUACGCGGCGGUGGGCGCCACUGCGGCGCCCGGCUUGGUUCUGUACCGAAUUCAGCCG
rnacentral:tRNA from 1 species